AUACACAUACCAUAUAUAGUAACUACUUACUAACGGUGACCACCGUUAUAUAGUAACUAAUAAGCUAAGAGGCUCUCUUCACCUCCUAGGAUGUGACCGUUAUUAGUAACCUCACUGCUUUACUAUAGAAAAUAAACGGUCGGGUGUAGUCCUCGCGAGAGUUGUAAAAUCCGUCGCGAGAUAAUGCGAGACUAGACUUGCGGUUGCCGGCUCCGCUGAAAUGGACGACAGACGGGACGGCCUGGCGAUUUAUAUUUUCUCUUCAUCUCUACUCUGACCUGGACCAAUUCCUGGACCAUUUAUAGGCUACUACAUAUUCUGCAGUACGCCGAAGCAGAGGAAAUGGCAGCUGGUAGGAUUGAGAGUCGCAGCAUGCAAUACUGGGGAACCAGAAGGAGUCCCAAUGGAACCGCUUCACAUGCUGAUGUACAAGGAACUUAAGCUGGGCUUCUAGUAGUUUUCUUUGCCCCAGGCCAUGGAGGAGUACCGGGAGGACUUCGCCUUUGAGGAAAGCAUUGAAAAUGAAGCUGUGUGCCAAAUAAGAAAGCAGAGCUAUGAGAAAAGAACAGUCAAAGUCAUCAAGCACUUAAGCUUGCUUCAACAAGAUUUCUGCACAAGACUUGCUCUCAGGGCAGUGAGAACAGAGGAUAGCAGGCACCACUGUAACUAGUCAGCUAUCUUGCCCAACUGGAAAGAAGGCUAUUAUUUAGUUUUAAAAAAAGUGUUGAUAAGAUAACACAUUUGACAUAUGUAGGCAUGUCAGCUGAUUUUUAGGUAAAAUGACCUGACCACUUUCUGGUAAUGUUGAUGGUAUAUUGUAUAUACAAUACACAUGUACUGUUUACCUAGCAUACCACAAAUGAUGUGUAAUUUGUAUAAAAGGUAUUCUUGUAUACUUUGAUAAUUAACCUUGAAUUGUACAUUAACCUUUCUGAAGGCAAACCUUUCUGAAGGCAAACCUUUCUGAAGGCCUGUGUUAUCUUCUAUGACUAAAUAUAAGCGGCAGCAGUUUUCAUUAGUUCAAGUAUCAUAUCCUUGCACAGAAGGUACCAUGAACUUUAAUGCAAUUUUGUACACACUGUUUGCAAUAUAUCAAGCAAUGAAAUAGCAAAAUACAUAAUGAGUGUGGCUGUGCAGGUAUCAUUUUAUCAGUCAAUUUAUAAACAUUAAAUAAACCUCCUUUG